UACGUAGGUGGCAAGCGUUGUCCGGAUUUAUUGGGCGUAAAGAGCCCGCAGGCGGUCUGUUAAGUUUCAGGUGAAAUCUCCUGGCUCAACUGGGAGGGGUCCUGGAAAACUGGCAGACUUGAGGCAGGGAGAGGGAUGUGGAAUUCCCGGUGUAGUGGUGAAAUGCGUAGAUAUCGGGAGGAACACCAGUGGCGAAGGCGGCAUCCUGGCCCUGUCCUGACGCUCAGGGGCGAAAGCGUGGGGAGCAAAC
rnacentral:rRNA from 1 species